rfam:Ipomoea nil DNA, scaffold: scaffold1043, cultivar: Tokyo-kokei standard.
GGCCUAUUAGCUUAGUUGGUUAGAACGUCGUGCUAAUAACGCGAAAGUCGCAGGUUCGAGACCAGCAUGGGCCA